rnacentral:rRNA from 1 species
UACGGGGGGAGCAAGCGUUGUUCGGAUUUACUGGGCGUAAAGGGCGCGUAGGCGGCCACCGCAAGUCGACUGUGAAAUCUCCGGGCUUAACCCGGAACGGUCGGCCGAUACUGCGGGGCUAGAGUGCAGAAGGGGCAACUGGAAUUCUCGGUGUAGCGGUGAAAUGCGUAGAUAUCGAGAGGAACACCUGCGGCGAAGGCGGGUUGCUGGGCUGACACUGACGCUGAGGCGCGAAAGCUAGGGGAGCGAACGGG